GCCUCGGUAGCUCAGUUGGCUAGAGCGAUCGCCUUGUAAGCGAUAGGUCGGGGGUUCGAAUCCCCCCCGGGGCU
rfam:Candidate divison MSBL1 archaeon SCGC-AAA259J03 AAA259J03_Contig_34, whole genome shotgun sequence.